rnacentral:lncRNA from 1 species
UCACUAUGUUCACAGGAAAGAAGGCUGAGGGCAUUUUUGGCAUAAAAAUUAUAUAAUAAUAUUUUAUAAACGGAAACCUAACGGAUUACUAACGGCUGUGGGCGAAGUGAAUAUUUUUUAUUUUAUAAGGGGGCAAAGUGUAGGUUUUUAAAUAACAGGAAGGAAAGUGAAAAAUCGGGUUUUGAUAGGAAGGUUUUAUGUAAUUUAGCCAAAAGAAAAUAUGUAUACUUUGUUCGGAUAAAAAAAAAAUGAUAAGACUAGU